UUCGGGGGCCGAGUAGAGUGGCGUCCGGGUGAGUAACACGUGAGUAAUUUGCCUUCGGGUGGGGAAUAACAACCGGAAACGGUUGCUAAUACCGCAUAAUGCAGCGGCACCAUAUGGUGACAGUUGUUAAAGCGGGGGAUUCGCAAGAACCUCGUGCCUGAAGAGAAGCUCGCGGCGGAUUACCUAGUUGGUAGGGUAACGGCCUACCAAGGCAACGAUCCGUAGCCGGCCUGAGAGGGCGGUCGGCCACACUGACACUGACACACGGGUCAGACUCCUACGGGAGGCAGCAGUCGGGAAUUUUGGGCAAUGGGCGAAAGCCUGACCCAGCAACGCCGCGUGAAGGAUGAAGUUUUUCGGAAUGUAAACUUCACAAGAAUGGGAAGAAUAAGGAGGGGUUAAUACCCCCUUCGAUGACGGUACCAUUUGUAAGCUCCGGCUAACUCCGUGCCAGCAGCCGCGGUAAUACGGGGGGAGCAAGCGUUGUUCGGAUUUACUGGGCGUAAAGGGCGCGUAGCGGCGCAACAAAUCACUUGUGA
rnacentral:rRNA from 1 species